UCAUAAAAUCACACAUAAUAAUAAUAGAUAGUAAAACAAUUACUUGAAUAAUUGCGAAAAAUUCAGGAGCUAAUACAUGCAUAAAGCCCCAACUCACGAAGGGGCGCUUUUAUUAGAUCAAAACCAAACGGCUUCGGCUGUACUUUUGGUGAUUCUGAAUAACUUUGGGCUGAUCGCAUAGCCUUGCGCUGGCGACAUAUCCUUCGAAGGUGUGCCCUAUCAACUGUCGACUGUGGCAUAGACGCGCGGRAGUGGUUUUGACGGGUAACGGGGAAUCAGGGUUCGAUUCCGGAGAGGGAGCCUUAAAAACGGCUACCACAUCUAAGGAAGGCAGCAGGCACGCAAAUUACCCAAUGACCGACGUUCUAGGUAGUGACGAAAAAUAACSAUAGCGGUGCUCAUCCGAGGUACGCUAAUUGGAAUGAG
rnacentral:rRNA from 1 species